GGGUGGACCUCAGAUCAGGCGAGGCGACCCGCUGAACUAAGCAUAUCAAUA
rnacentral:rRNA from 1 species